rnacentral:rRNA from 1 species
AUUGAACGCUGGCGGCAUGCCUUACACGUGCAAGUCGAACGGUAACGCGGGGCAACCUGGCGACGAGUGGCGAACGGGUGAGUAAUGCAUCGGAACGUGCCCAGUAGUGGGGAUAGCCCGGCGAAAGCCGGAUUAAUACCGCAUACGACCUACGGGUGAAAGCGGGGAUCGCAAGACCUCGCGCUAUUGGAGCGGCCGAUGUCGGAUUAGCUAGUUGGUGGGGUAAAGGCCUACCAAGGCGACGAUCCGUAGCUGGUCUGAGAGGACGACCAGCCACACUGGGACUGAGACACGGCCCAGACUCCUACGGGAGGCAGCAGUGGGGAAUUUUGGACAAUGGGCGCAAGCCUGAUCCAGCCAUGCCGCGUGCGGGAAGAAGGCCUCGGGUUGUAAACCGCUUUUGUCAGGGAAGAAACGGUCUGGGCUAAUACCCCGGACUAAUGACGGUACCUGAAGAAUAAGCACCGGCUAACUACGUGCCAGCAGCCGCGGUAAUACGUAGGGUGCAAGCGUUAAUCGGAAUUACUGGGCGUAAAGCGUGCGCAGGCGGCUUUGCAAGACAGAUGUGAAAUCCCCGGGCUCAACCCGGGAACUGCAUUUGUGACUGCAUCGCUCGAGUGCGGCAGAGGGGGAUGGAAUUCCCGCGUGUAGCAGUGAAAUGCGUAGAUAUGCGGA